rnacentral:rRNA from 1 species
UACGAAGGGGCUAGCGUUGCUCGGAAUCACUGGGCGUAAAGGGUGCGUAGGCGGGUCUUUAAGUCAGGGUGAAUCCUGGAGCUCAACUCCAGAACUGCCUUGAUACUGGAGUCUGUAGUACGGGAGAGGUGAGUGGAACUGCGAGUGUAGAGGUGAAAUUCGUAGAUAUUCGCAAGAACACCAGUGGCGAAGGCGGCUCACUGGCCCGUUACUGACGCUGAGGCACGAAAGCGUGGGAGCAACAGGG